rnacentral:rRNA from 2 species
UUGAGGGCAAGUCUGGUGCCAGCAGCCGCGGUAAUUCCAGCUCCAAUAGCGUAUAUUAAAGUUGUUGCAGUUAAAAGCUCGUAGUUGAAUUUCGGGAUUGACACAUCGGUCGUGCCCUAAGGGGUAUGAACUGGUGUAGUCAGUUUCUCACCUUCUGGAGAACCGCGAUGUCCUUAAUUGGGUGCCGCGGGGAACCAGGACCUUUACUUUGAAAAAAUUAGAGUGUUUAAAGCAGGCAUUUUGCUUGAAUACAUUAGCAUGGAAUAAUAAAAUAGGACGGAUGGUUCUAUUUUGUUGGUUUCUAGGAUCACCGUAAUGAUUAAUAGGGAUAUUGGGGGCAUUAGUAUUCAAUUGUCAGAGGUGAAAUUCUUGGAUUUAUUGAAGACUAACUACUGCGAAAGCAUUUGCCAAGGAUGUUUUCAUUAAUCAAGAACGAAAGUUAGGGGAUCGAAGACGAUCAGAUACCGUCGUAGUCUUAACCAUAAACUAUGCCGACUAGGAAUCAGACGAUGUUAAUUUUUAAUGACUCGUUCGGCGCCUUACGGAAAC